GUUCAAUUGAUUUAGGGAGGAUAGCUCCUGCAUUAGCCAGAUGCCAAGGUAUUUGAGCUUCUCCGCACACCAGGAGAAGUAAAACUGCGUGAAGGUGCGUCCCUCUCUCGGUCGGGAGUGUGAUGUUAAGUGCCUCCGAUUUUUACAAGUUUAGUAUAAGGUUGGAGAGUUGGCUGAACUCCCUGAAACUGCGGAUCGGAAUACUCCUAAACUUUUUUUUAGCUGGCCUCUAG